rnacentral:rRNA from 1 species
GAUGAACGCUGGCGGCGUGCCUAAUACAUGCAAGUCGAGCGAACGGACGCGAAGCUUGCUUCUCUGAUGUUAGCGGCGGACGGGUGAGUAACACGUGGAUAACCUACCUAUAAGACUGGGAUAACUUCGGGAAACCGUAGCUAAUACCAGAUAAUAUUUUGAACCGCAUGGUUCAAAAGUGAAAGACGGUCUUGCUGUCACUUAUAGAUGGAUCCGCGCUGCAUUAGCUAGUUGGUAAGGUAACGGCUUACCAAGGCAACGAUGCAUAGCCGACCUGAGAGGGUGAUCGGCCACACUGGAACUGAGACACGGUCCAGACUCCUACGGGAGGCAGCAGUAGGGAAUCUUCCGCAAUGGGCGAAAGCCUGACGGAGCAACGACGCGUGAGUGAUGAAGGUCUUCGGAUCGUAAAACUCUGUUAUUAGGGAAGAACAUAUGUGUAAGUAACUGUGCACAUCUUGACGGUACCUAAUCAGAAAGCCACGGCUAACUACGUG